AACGCGUUAAAUUCCCGUCUCUAAUGUAAAUAAGAACCCAGAACCUUUUCUGGACUCUCAUUCUGGGUCAGCAGGACUUUAAAGCUGCUGUGGUUUUAAAAAUGAUUUGAUGCAUUUUUACUGCAGCAGAAUGAAAUAAAUCUGUAGUUUUAUUUUAAAGUUUUGCGCCUGCACAGCCAGCCUUCCAGAACCGGAGCUGUCUGGAGCAGAACCGACCGGCUGAACCCGACCCGGCGGACUGGAGACGGCCAGAUGUGACCGGAGCUGUAAACCUUCCUGCGGUUUAACGGCUCGAGCCGCCGCCGCAGACCCAGAUUCUGUCCUGAGGACCGGACCGGACCGGUCCGGGUCGGAACACCAAGACACAUUUGGCACAGGCUUUGUGUCAGGAAGCCUGGAGUUCUUCCCCACCUGGCGGCGCUGUAGUCCCAGCUGGCCUGCUCUAUC